ACAAAUUCCCUUUCACAGUUGCAUUUAUUCUAAACUGUAAAGCUGUUCUUGUUGGGGAGAGGACUUUUGGCAAGGGUCUAAUUCAAUCUGUCUUUGAACUUCGUGAUGGAUCUGGGGUGGUUGUCACUGUUGGAAAGUAUGAGACACCAAGUCAUUUGGACAUCAAUGGCAAUGGAAUCGUACCUGACUAUAGAAACUUCCCAGCUUGGAGCGAUAUUGCACAGCAUCUGUCAAGAUGCAAUUUGCUUCGACGAUCUGGAUUUGCUUGCCCAGUAGGUGCACUUGAGGAUUUGAGAUGAAAAUGCAGAGUUAAGAGCUGUUUUGCUUCCACGCAGGCCUUUGACAUAUAUCCGUUAACAUGUCAAAGUGGGAUUACAGAAUAGAUUUGGUGGAUUCAGAGUUUUAGCGGAUAUAACACCAGCAUAAGUAAAACGGACAGUCGGGACGAAUUUACCACGAGACAACGGAGACAAUUUCCCCACCUGAAAAUCCUUCAUACAAUAAUACUUUGUAAUUCUUAUCGUCAAUAAAAUAAUAUAUUUAUUUGUUCAAUUAUCAU